rnacentral:rRNA from 1 species
AUUGAACGCUGGCGGCAGGCCUAACACAUGCAAGUCGAGCGGAUGAAGGGAGCUUGCUCCUGGAUUCAGCGGCGGACGGGUGAGUAAUGCCUAGGAAUCUGCCUGGUAGUGGGGGAUAACGUCCGGAAACGGGCGCUAAUACCGCAUACGUCCUGAGGGAGAAAGUGGGGGAUCUUCGGACCUCACGCUAUCAGAUGAGCCUAGGUCGGAUUAGCUAGUUGGUGGGGUAAAGGCCUACCAAGGCGACGAUCCGUAACUGGUCUGAGAGGAUGAUCAGUCACACUGGAACUGAGACACGGUCCAGACCCCUACGGGAGGCAGCAGUGGGGAAUAUUGGACAAUGGGCGAAAGCCUGAUCCAGCCAUGCCGCGUGUGUGAAGAAGGUCUUCGGAUUGUAAAGCACUUUAAGUUGGGAGGAAGGGCAGUAAGUUAAUACCUUGAUGUUUUGACGUUACCAACAGAAUAAGCACCGGCUAACUUCGUG